GACGAACGCUGGCGGCGUGCUUAACACAUGCAAGUCGAACGGAAAGGCCCUGCUUUUGUGGGGUGCUCGAGUGGCGAACGGGUGAGUAACACGUGAGUAGCCUGCCCUUGACUUUGGGAUAACUUCAGGAAACUGGGGCUAAUACCGGAUAGGAGCUCCUGCUGCAUGGUGGGGGUUGGAAAGUUUCGGCGGUUGGGGAUGGACUCGCGGCUUAUCAGCUUGUUGGUGGGGUAGUGGCUUACCAAGGCUUUGACGGGUAGCCGGCCUGAGAGGGUGACCGGCCAUAUUGGGACUGAGAUACGGCCCAGACUCCUACGGGAGGCAGCAGUGGGGAAUAUUGCACAAUGGGCGGAAGCCUGAUGCAGCAACGCCGCGUGCGGGAUGACGGCCUUCGGGUUGUAAACCGCUUUCGCCUGUGACGAAGCGUGAGUGACGGUAAUGGGUAAAGAAGCACCGGCUAACUACGUG
rnacentral:rRNA from 1 species